AAAAAGACAAACCCUAGGUUUCCGUGCCAACGUUUGACUGUCCAUCUUAUAUGAAUUUUUUUUAUAAUUAGUAUUUUUAUUGUUGUUAGAUGAUAAAACAUGAUUAAUACUUUAUACGUGACUUAUUUUUUAUAUUUUUUUUAUAAUUUUUUUAAAUAAGACGGAUGGUCAAACGUUGGACACGGAAGCCAGGGUUUGUCUUUUU
rfam:Oryza sativa Japonica Group DNA, chromosome 9, cultivar: Nipponbare, complete sequence.